CCUCCAGACUCCUACGGGAGGCAGCAGUGGGGGAUAUUGCACAAUGGGGGGAACCCUGAUGCAGCGACGCCGCGUGGGUGAAGGAGCGUUUCGGCGCGUAAAGCCCUAUCGGCAGGGAAGAAGAUGACGGUACCUGACCAAGAAGCCCCGGCUAACUACGUGCCAGCAGCCGCGGGAAUACGUAGGGGGCAAGCGUUAUCCGGAUUCACUGGGUGUAAAGGGAGCGUAGACGGCGACGCAAGUCUGGAGUGAAAGCCCGGGGCCCAACCCCGGGACUGCUCUGGAAACUGCGUCGCUGGAGUACGGGAGGGGCAGGCGGAAUUCCUGGUGUAGCGGUGAAAUGCGUAGAUAUCAGGAGGAACACCGGCGGCGAAGACGGCCUGCUGGACCGUGACUGACGUUGAGGCUCGAGAGCGUGGGGAGCAAACAGGAUUAGAUACCCGCGUAAC
rnacentral:rRNA from 1 species